AUUGAACGCUGGCGGCAUGCCUUUACACAUGCAAGUCGAACGGUAACAGGUCUUCGGAUGCUGACGAGUGGCGAACGGGUGAGUAAUACAUCGGAACGUGCCCGAUCGUGGGGGAUAACUCAGCGAAAGCUGUGCUAAUACCGCAUACGAUCUACGGAUGAAAGCGGGGGAUCGCAAGACCUCGCGCGGACGGAGCGGCCGAUGGCAGAUUAGGUAGUUGGUGGGGUAAAGGCUCACCAAGCCUUCGAUCUGUAGCUGGUCUGAGAGGACGACCAGCCACACUGGGACUGAGACACGGCCCAGACUCCUACGGGAGGCAGCAGUGGGGAAUUUUGGACAAUGGGCGCAAGCCUGAUCCAGCCAUGCCGCGUGCAGGAUGAAGGCCUUCGGGUUGUAAACUGCUUUUGUACGGAACGAAAAGGUCUGCCUUAAUACGGCGGGCCCAUGACGGUACCGUAAGAAUAAGCACCGGCUAACUACGUG
rnacentral:rRNA from 1 species